rnacentral:ribozyme from 1 species
GAAUAAAGGUCGUGGGGUGGUGUACAUUGCAGAGCUCGAUUGUUGAGGUGUUUCUUACAAGUCUAUCCGCAACAGCUCUAUCAUGA